CGGGUGAGUAACGCGUGGAUAACCUGCCUCACACUGGGGGAUAACAGUUAGAAAUGACUGCUAAUACCGCAUAAGCGCACAGUACCGCAUGGUACAGUGUGAAAAACUACCGGUGGUGUGAGAUGGAUCCGCGUCUGAUUAGCCAGUUGGCGGGGUAACGGCCCACCAAAGCGACGAUCAGUAGCCGACCUGAGAGGGUGACCGGCCACAUUGGGACUGAGACACGGCCCAA
rnacentral:rRNA from 1 species